UACGGGGGGAGCAAGCGUUGUUCGGAUUUACUGGGCGUAAAGGGCGCGUAGGCGGCCACCGCAAGUCGGUUGUGAAAUCUCUGGGCUUAACCCAGAAAGGUCAACCGAUACUGCGGGGCUAGAGUGCAGAAGGGGCAACUGGAAUUCUCGGUGUAGCGGUGAAAUGCGUAGAUAUCGAGAGGAACACCUGCGGCGAAGGCGGGUUGCUGGGCUGACACUGACGCUGAACUGCGAAAGCUAGGGGAGCGAACGGG
rnacentral:rRNA from 1 species